GAAGUGCGAUAAGCAAUGCGAAUUGCAGAAUUCCGCGAAUCAUCAGAUCUUUGAACGCAAAUGGCGCCAGAGGGAUAUCCUUCCGGCAUGUCUGUUUCAGUGUCUGAGAGGUUUCACCACUAUCUUAAUGUGAUUGAUGGAUUGUUAGUAGGCUUCAAACCCCUUCUCUCAAAACAUCUCUCAUGAAAGAUGUUCGAGUGGAUCUUUGGGUCCAAUGAAGUGGUCACAUCACUCGCAUGUGAUUUCAUUGGGAUCACCUAAUUAUCCGCAUGCUCGAAGUACUCUCACGAUUUACAGGCUAACCCCUGUAAAUCCACUCCAUACCCUGCAUCUGAGACAGGCAAGAUCACCCGCUGAACUUAA
rnacentral:misc_RNA from 1 species